rnacentral:rRNA from 1 species
AGUGGCGAACGGGUGAGUAAUACAUCGGAACGUGCCCUGUAGUGGGGGAUAACUAGUCGAAAGAUUAGCUAAUACCGCAUACGACCUGAGGGUGAAAGUGGGGGACCGCAAGGCCUCAUGCUAUAGGAGCGGCCGAUGUCUGAUUAGCUAGUUGGUGGGGUAAAGGCCCACCAAGGCGACGAUCAGUAGCUGGUCUGAGAGGACGAUCAGCCACACUGGGACUGAGACACGGCCCAGACUCCUACGGGAGGCAGCAGUGGGGAAUUUUGGACAAUGGGCGAAAGCCUGAUCCAGCAAUGCCGCGUGUGUGAAGAAGGCCUUCGGGUUGUAAAGCACUUUUGUCCGGAAAGAAAUGGCUCUGGUUAAUACCUGGGGUCGAUGACGGUACCGGAAGAAUAAGGACCGGCUAACUACGUGCCAGCAGCCGCGGUAAUACGUAGGGUCCAAGCGUUAAUCGGAAUUACUGGGCGUAAAGCGUGCGCAGGCGGUUGUGCAAGACCGAUGUGAAAUCCCCGAGCUUAACUUGGGAAUUGCAUUGGUGACUGCACGGCUAGAGUGUGUCAGAGGGGGGUAGAAUUCCACGUGUAGCAGUGAAAUGCGUAGAGAUGUGGAGGAAUACCGAUGGCGAAGGCAGCCCCCUGGGAUAACACUGACGCUCAUGCACGAAAGCGUGGGGAGCAAACAGGAUUAGAUACCCUGGUAGUCCACGCCCUAAACGAUGUCAACUAGUUGUUGGGGAUUCAUUUCCCUUAGUAAGUUCCCCGCCUGGGGAGUACGGCCGCAAGGCUAAAAACUCAAAGCAAUUGACGGGGACCCGCACAAGCGGCGGAGCAUGCGGAUUAAUUUGAUGCAACGCGAAGAACCUUCCCAAGGCUUAACAUAUAGAGGAAACGUCUGGAAACAGUCGCCCCGCAAGGUCUCUAUACAGGGUGGUGCAUGGUUGUCGUCAGCUCGUGUCGUGAGAUGUUGGGUUAAGUCCCGCAACGAGCGCAACCCUCGUUUUAUGUUGCCAGCACGUAAUGGUGGGAACUCAUGGGAUACUGCCGGGGUCAACUCGGAGGAAGGUGGGGAUGACGUCAAAUCAUCAUGCCCCUUAUGUCUUGGGCUUCACGCAUGCUACAAUGGCCGGUACAAAGGGCUGCAAUACCGUAAGGUGGAGCGAAUCCCAAAAAGCCGGUCCCAGUUCGGAUUGAGGUCUGCAACUCGACCUCAUGAAGUCGGAGUCGCUAGUAAUCGCAGAUCAGCAACGCUUCGGUGAAUACGUUCCCGGGUCUUGUUCACACCGCCCGUCA